rnacentral:lncRNA from 1 species
CUGUGAUGAAAGGAUGUUGAGAACUGUUACCUAUUAAUUGUAUUAUUAUGUGGCGGCUGUGGCUGUGGGCUUUUGUCACUAACUGCGCCGCUGGUUUUGCUUUGGAUUGCACUGAGCGACAAUAAAAGUGGACUGAUCUGACGUGCUGUUUGAUGGAAUUGUUCCCUCAUGUGAUGUUUUUAUGCUUUCUUUACGUAAUAUUCUUCCUCUUUUAAUUUCUCUACAUAUUUUUAUAUCAUUUUUACUCUUUUUCCUCCACU